GUGACUUACCCGUGACUGCGUACGUCAAUAAGGGUGUUUAAUAUGUACUUAUUACACCCAACCUACCUGACAGGAUCUUUUUUAGCUGCAUUUCUAGACUUAUAGUUACAAAUUUCUUUUCUUUUGCGUUUUUCUUAAGGCAGCUUCUUUUGUCGCACUUUUUGCUAGGACGCAAUGUCCGCUUGCAAUUAGAGCAGUAAUGGUGAACAACUGGAGUGAGUACCCCGAAAACUGAUGACAGGUGACGCUUUAGGCUGUACAGAGUUUUUGGUAAGGUGUUACCGUUUGGUAGUAUCGAUCUGACGAAAGUUAUGAGAACGCCAAGGCACUCGCCAGUAAGGCUAAACUGGAACCCUAUCAUGAAUAGCAUGGCACAGACGAAGGUUUUUGUAACUUUUCCCCUCGGAAACAAAGGCUGACCGGAUGUUAAUAAGUCAUAUGAAUGGUAUCUUGCCACUGCAGGAUCGUUUUCUCUAGCUGGUGAUUCAGUCUGAUCUACACAUCUGAUUGCACAUUUGAAGCAGCUAUUCCUUCGGUUUCUGUAGUCAGUUGCUGCGGGGCUUCUGUAGCUGCAGGCUCGUCUUCCACGCAAACGAGAGAAAACCGUUUUGAGCGGUUGCCAUGGAUCACUAUGAAUAAAGCUUUCGGAUGGANCCAAUCAGAGAUUUUCUUUUUUAUAGCUAUCCAAUUAGCACGCACUAUUCAAAAGCAUUGGUCACCUGACCAACCACGUUGUCGGAUGGGUGCCUUUGCAUCUCCUCACCCUGCACCAUCUAUAACCGCGCGCCGUUGAAUACAGAGAGGAGUCCAAAAUUUUUAGGUGAGAUUAUUGACGUAAUUGCUGUAUUAUAUAUGCCUUUUAAUCUAAUAAUAGACAAUUANGAUAUGAUCAAACGUUCAUUUGAAAGUGAGGAUAAACUUUCAAAUGAUCACUAGUUGAAAAAAAGCAAGCUUGCUGAAAUCUCACGGGAGAAAGCACACCAAGGCCUUUUGUGCAAAGAUGAAAAAAAAUUGACACAAAAGAAAUUGUAUUUGCAUGGGAUUCCUCAUAGGUUUUCGGUACAUAUACGACUACCAAUAUUUCAUAGCUACUAGCACUGACUUUAAUUCCUCUCUGCUUGUAUAAAAACAUAUUUUUUUCGUUUUACUUUGAAGAUCGUGCCCAAGUUUUUUUCCACAAAGCUUAACUCCAUCCUCCAACAUUUUGCUGACGACACUGGAUCAUCAUGUUCUUCCUCGUUUGUUGGAAUGAGAAAAACAAAACCCGUCUAACUGAGGANCUACUGGAAGUACAGUCGGACAAAAAGCUUAGUUUUUACGGGAAAGACCCCGCCCCACAGGAUCCAUGUACAAUGNAGUACAAAGGGGACAUAUGGACAGGAUAUGUCCUCUCGAUCCACAUGCAACUUGACGAGGAGUUUCUUAGUGAAUCUAAGAAAAAGAGUAAGUAAAAAGCUAAGUCGUAUUUGUUGAUCUUACAUCUUACAACUUUUGCGCAUGCGCAUAGAUCUCCACCAAAUGUUACAAACAUGUUUAUCUAUUCAAGAUACGACUAUCCUGAAAGUUUGGUGUAAAUCGACCCAAUAUCACGAAAGUUAGACAUGAUCCCAUAUUCCAAAAAAAUGAGUAAAUUUGAAAUUCACGUGUACCUACAGUAGUUAGCACGGACCCGCAUCUACAGAGAGACAAAUAACCAUAUCUUUUGCGCAUAUCAACCGAUCUUAUCGAAACUUUUCACACAAGUUCUUCUACAUAUGAAAAAUAUCUUAUGGAAGUUUCGCUGAUAUUCAUUAAAUAGUAGUGGAGAUAUGUGGAUGCAAAACUAUAACAAAAUUAGCAAUACUUUUUAUAAUUUUCAUCACAUGCCUCAGGCNACUUUUUUUAUUUUUUCACCUCCAUCUGUGGAACAUGUAACACUUCAAGUAAGUAAAUGGGCUUUCAAAUAUAAGCCAAUUCCAGGUAAUGACAAAAACAGUGACAGUUAGCCGAUCAACCACGCCCAUCAAGUGAUAUGACGUCACAUGUGUCAAUUUUGGAGGUCAUCCGACAGCCUCGAGACUUAUAUUUUUGGGAAAGCCUGUAAUCUCANCAUUCUAGAUAUGCAGUUUGAAUAUUAUCUCUAAGAUAUUUGCUAAGAUGUGGCUCAUUUUGCAUAAGAGGUGAGGAUUUUCUGUUGACCAUAGAUUGAACAAAAUCAAAAAUCAAUUUAUUCAAUAAUAAUGUCAAGUGCGUGCAUUUCAAUAUAAAAUGUACGGCUAUUAAAUAAAGUAAUUCACAAACUAAUGAGUACAUUAAAAACAUCGCUUAAGAGGGGUCGCCCACCAUGCCGUCAGAAUGAGGGUUGCGAUUAAGAAAAUAAAAACAAAGAAUUGUAGGAUUAUUUCAGGCAAUGCCUGUUGUUUUACCGGACAUCUUCGUUUCUUGUAUUGCCUGUCUCUCUUUGAUAUUUCAUUAAAUCACAAUCUUUGUUCUAACAGUGGUGUAUUAUACGUUAAGAGCAUUGUCUCUUCGGAAGUCAUGCUGGAUUCGAACCGACNCUCCUUAAGGAGGUUCCAGGUGACUUUUUACCCGAGACAUUUUAGCCCUAGGUUUUCAAAAAAAAUGAAUACAUAAAUUGUACUUGGAUAAAAAAUGAUAGAGUGAUCUUCUUCUGACUGUGAAAUAUCUAUGUUAUUAACAAUUCUAAAAAGCAUCUUCAUCACUAUCCGAAAUAUAAUCACUGAAGUUGUCAUUACUGUCAGUAUCUCCUUCGUCCGCAUCCAGGUCUUCUUCAUCCGACUGCUCUUUAUCCACUGUAGUGUUACUCUCAACUACAGGUGGUGUUUGGGUAAUGCAUGCCCAUGAAAUGAUAUCCUCCCAAUGAUAUGGGGAAACAUGCACACCUUCCCAGAGUUUUUCCAAUUUGACGCGGUUGACUUCCAGUGACAUUUUCUUUUCGGAAAGCAGGGCNCUCAAACCCUUAUCAACAGAAUUACUUGUCAACGUGGCUUUUAAGUCCUCGAUACACUUAACUUGUGCAAAGUGAAAUGAUAGUAGCUGUAUCACUUCACUUUUCACCAAGUGAAUUUCCUCUUCGCAUCUAUUCUUCAUAAAGAGGAGAUCUAUAAGCUGUCUCUUGAUUGACUGGGGANNGCAUGUUGGAGACAAGGUAUUGCCAGAAAUGGGAUUGAAGAUAGUGUUUCCCGGAUCCUUUACAUCUUCGAAUUUCAAUGGGACAGAAGACAAUUCAUUAAACGAUGCUAAAUUGCGCUUUAUCUGAUUUGUAACUNUCUUUAGCUGCUUUGAAAGUUUUAUAGCAAUGCUUUGGCCAUCUGGAAAAAAAAAGAAUUUAAAUUACAACAAGCCCACAUGGUUUUAAAAAAUUAUAUAGUUUUGGGACUUCAUAUCUGCAUGUACAAAUUCAAGUUAAUCCUCAUAGUAAGCUGAAAUUUUGACAAAUAUCAGCAGANAAAUUUCAACAUGUGUACAGACAACAAAUAACAAACACACAUUAUUGAAAUGGAGGAUGGCCGGAAAAAUUCUAAUUAAACACUUUCUUUAGACUUAGCAUGGCUUCAGCAUGCACUUUAAUAAUUAUUAUGACACUGACAAAACAGGUUGUAUACCUGCAUAUUUCUUUUUCAAUUCCAAUAGAAAAGCCCUUUCAGAUGACAUUCUUUGCAUUUUCAACAAAAGGUUACCCUUUUGCUUCUUGAAGAGGCUUUGUUGCAUAGCCUGGAAUGUGGUGUCACUUUCCCUCCAUCUUCUGCCAAUUUUUUGUUUCUUCUCAAUGGCACACUUUUCAUUCCUAAAAUGUAAUGAUAUUAGCACAUUACUAGU
rnacentral:lncRNA from 1 species